UAAUUGUUUUAUAUGCGCAUCAUGAGUACUCUGAUAUUUGACUAGUCCAGUCUAACACAACGUUAGGUCGUAGCACGGGUUGAAAAGCCUUAGGCCUCGAUCUAACGGAAAACGCUAACUCUAGGUACGGGUCGCAAAGCCUUGUGCCUUGAAGCAGCGGGACAAGUUAGUGGAUGAACUGGUCGAGGUCGUGGAGUAAAUUUUGUGACUUUGACUGGAUCGUCCCUAACCCGUCACGUAGCACUUCCGAACCAUGGUGUUCGGUUGGACGGUCAGUCAUGUUCUUGUUUGAUUGUUGGCUGGCCGGUUGGCCUUUCAUCUCCAACCCUUGGUGUGGGUCGUCCGUCGGUCAUGUUCUUGUUUGAUUGUUGGCCGGUGGGUCGACCUAUGCUCAGGACAGUUCGGGGGUGUUACAGUCGGGGGCAUUUGUAUUUCAUAGUUAGAGGUGAAAUUUUUGGAUUUAUGAAAAACGAACAACUGGGAAAACAUUUGCCAAGGAUGUUUUCAUUAAUCAAGAACGAAAGUUGGGGGCUCGAAGACGAUCAGAUGCCGUCCUAGUCUCAACCAUAAACGAUGUCGACCAGGGAUCAGCGGAUGUUGCUUUUAGGACUCCGCUGGCACCCUAUGAGAAAUCAAAAUUUUUGGGUUCCGGGGGGAGUAUGGUCGCAAGGCUGAAACUUAAAGGAAUUGACGGAAGGGCACCACCAGGAGUGGAGCCUGCGGCUUAAUUUGACUUAACACGGGGAAACUUACCAGGUCCAGACAUAGUAAGGAUUAACAGACUGAGAGCUCUUUCUUGAUUCUAUGGGUGGUGGUGCAUGGCCGUUUUUAGUUGGUGGAGCAAUUUGUCUGGUUAAUUCCGUUAACGAACGAGACCUCAGCCUGGUAACUCGCUACGUGGAGGCAUCCCUUCACGGCCGGCUUUUUAGAGGGACUAUGGCCAUUUAGGCCAAGGAAGUUUGAGGCAAUAACAAGUCUGUGAUGCCCUUAGAUGUUCUAGGCCACGCGGGCCAUUAACACUGAUGUAUUCAACGAAGUUCACACCUUCGCCGACAUGCCCGGUAAUCUUUGAAAUUUCAUCGUGUUGGGGAUAGAUCAUUGCAAUUGUUGGUCUUUAACGAGGAAUUCCAAAUAAGCGAAAUCAUCAGCUCGCGUUGACUACGCCCCUGCCCUUUGUACACACAAUCACCGCGCUCUUAAUGAUUGAAUGAUCCGGUGAAGCGUUAGGAUCGUGGCGACAUGGAUAGUUCGCCGUCCGCGACGUCGCGAGAAGUCCACUAUACCUUAUCAUUUAGAGGAAGGAGAAGUCGUAACAAGGUUUCCGUAGGUGAACCUGCGGAAG
rnacentral:rRNA from 1 species